rnacentral:rRNA from 1 species
GAUGAACGCUAGCGGGAGGCUUAACACAUGCAAGUCGAGGGGCAGCAUAGGGUAGCAAUACUCUGAUGGCGACCGGCAAACGGGUGAGUAACGCGUAUGCAACCUACCCUGUACAGGGGGAUAACCCGGAGAAAUUCGGACUAAUAUCCCGUAAUAAUAUCCGGAGGCAUCUUUGGAUAUUUAAAGUUUCGACGGUACGGGAUGGGCAUGCGUAACAUUAGCUGGUUGGUAAGGUAACGGCUUACCAAGGCUAUGAUGUUUAGGGGUCCUGAGAGGGUGGUCCCCCACACUGGUACUGAGACACGGACCAGACUCCUACGGGAGGCAGCAGUGAGGAAUAUUGGUCAAUGGGCGCAAGCCUGAACCAGCCAUCCCGCGUGCAGGAAGACGGCCCUAUGGGUUGUAAACUGCUUUUCCAGGGAGAGAAGCUUAACGCACGUGUUGCGUGACUGACGGUACCCUGGGAAUAAGCAUCGGCUAACUCCGUGCCAGCAGCCGCGGU